GCAUGUGAUGGCGAUCUGUCAUCCCACUGACCGCCAGGGAUGAUCUGGCUGGGUAGGCGGGUGUCUCCUUCCUCCCUCACUGCUCCAUGUGCAUCCCUCCCGAAGCUGCGCACUCGGUUAAAGAGGACAACCACCCUCAUAGAGGAGGACCGUCUCCCCAGUCAAGAGUAUACAAGUAGCUGUGCUCCCCUCCUAGAACCUCCAAAUAAGCUGUCAAGGAAUCUAAGAUAGUAUUCUACCCAGUGCAAUGUUAAUUAUGCCAUGAUUUAUCAUAAAUAUAAUUUGGGAUACCAAUGAUACAAAGAAAAAAUUCCAUAAUU
ensembl:misc_RNA 7SK 7SK RNA